GAAUAUUGGACAAUGGGGGCAACCCUGAUCCAGCCAUGCCGCGUGAGUGAAGAAGGCCUUAGGGUUGUAAAGCUCUUUCAGCGGGGAAGAUAAUGACGGUACCCGCAGAAGAAGCCCCGGCUAACUCCGUGCCAGCAGCCGCGGUAAGACGGAGGGGGCUAGCGUUGUUCGGAAUUACUGGGCGUAAAGCGCACGCAGGCGGCCUGUCAAGUUGGGCGUGAAAGCCCGGGGCUCAACCCCGGAACUGCGCUCAAAACUAGCAGGCUCGAGACCGGGAGAGGAGAGCGGAAUUCCCAGUGUAGAGGUGAAAUUCGUAGAUAUUGGGAAGAACACCAGUGGCGAAGGCGGCUCUCUGGUCCGGUUCUGACGCUCAGGUGCGAAAGCGUGGGGAGCAAACAGG
rnacentral:rRNA from 1 species